GAAAUGCGAUAAGUAAUGUGAAUUGCAGAAUUCAGUGAAUCAUCGAAUCUUUGAACGCACAUUGCGCCCGCUAGUAUUCUGGCGGGCAUGCCUGUUCGAGCGUCAUUUCAACCAUCAAGCCCCAGGCUUGUGUUGGGGACCUGCGGCUGCCGCAGCCCCCUAAAAGCAGUGGCGGUCUCGCUGUCAUACCGAGCGCAGUAGUUUAUCUUCGCUUUGGGCGUGGUGGCGAGUGCCGGCCGUGAAACACUUUUCUAAGGUUGACCUCGGAUCAGGUAGGAAUACCCGCUGAACUUAA
rnacentral:misc_RNA from 1 species